GACGAACGCUGGCGGCGUGCUUAACACAUGCAAGUCGAACGGAAAGGCCCUGCUUUUGUGGGGUGCUCGAGUGGCGAACGGGUGAGUAACACGUGAGUAACCUGCCCUUGAAUUUGGGAUAACUUCAGGAAAUUGGGGCUAAUACCGGAUAGGAGCUCCUGCUGCAUGGUGGGGGUGGGAAAGUUUCGGCGGUUGGGGUUGGACUCGCGGCUUAUCAGCUUGUUGGUGGGGUAGUGGCUUACCAAGGCUUGGACGGGUAGCCGGCCUGAGAGGGUGACCGGCCACAUCGGGGCUGAGAGACGACCCAGACUCCUACGGGAGGCAGCAGUGGGGAAUAUUGCACAAUGGGCGGAAGCCUGAUGCAGCAACGCCGCGUGCGGGAUGACGGCCUUAGGGUUGUAAACCGCUUUCGCCUGUGACGAAGCGUGAGUGACGGUAAUGUGUAAAGAAGCACCGGCUAACUACGUG
rnacentral:rRNA from 1 species